rnacentral:sRNA from 1 species
UUCUUUCUUCUCUGCUCUCCUUCUGUCCUCCUCUUUCCCUCUGAAGCACUGGUUAUGUGAAUCGGCUAACUGAUUUAGUUAUGUUAUUAUUUCUAAUCUCAGGCUUGGUUCUUUUCAGCGUUGUCCAUUAGGAAGCACGAUUUUGAAAGUGAAAUUACUCGACAUGGGUGAGCCGAGAGCUCUGCUGGCCACUGCCCUUUCCCCACCUGGUCUGAGUGACAUUGAGCGCACCAUCCUUCUACUAAAGGAGGUUGGAGCACUUGCAGUGAGUGGGCAGAGAAAAGAUGAAAACCCCCAUGAUGGUGAAUUGACCUUCUUAGGAAGAGUUUUAGCCCAACUUCCUGUAAAUCAGCAACUUGGUAAACUCAUAGUCCUUGGACAUGUAUUUGGAUGUCUAGAUGAAUGUCUUAUUAUAGCGGCAGCUCUUUCUUUGAAGAAUUUUUUUGCAAUGCCUUUCCGGCAGCAUCUCGAUGGAUAUAGGUACUGAACAUUCAUAUUUUAAAGUGUCACUGUAUUUUAAUGGUAUUGAAUGACACUGUUAUCUGUUUAUAGGAACAAAGUGAAUUUCUCUGGCAGUAGCAAGAGUGACUGUAUUGCACUUGUUGAGGCAUUUAAAACAUGGAAGGCUUGCAGACAG